rnacentral:lncRNA from 1 species
GAACGUUUAUACCCAUAAUGCCCAUGAAUCGAUGUUAAGAUAUAUUAUUCAUCCAAUAUAACGGUGUUACAACUCAAAUUGGGAACUAUGUCUACUGAUAACAACAACGUAAUAGAAUCCAAAACUUGUGUACUAGUUUUGGAAUUCCAGUCUGUAAAACAAAAUCUAUACUAAUUGUUAGUAUUUUUAGAAAUGGAGAAAUGGACCAUAUGUCACGUUACUCACGAUCUCACGCGAAAAAGAUAAAACCAGAGAGGAAAAAGAUAUUACUAUUUGAACAAAAUCUGAAGGGGACAAUUCACCUAAAGCUCACAUGAUGCCACAUUCAUCUUCCUCACCAAGACGACGUCCAACUGCUUUGAAAACGACGACAACCUUUUAUUAUUAUCUGCAGAAUCUUUCAUUGUCAAAACUUAAAUUUCUUAUUUUAUUUAUAUAUCUUCAAAACUAAAUCACAAUGUUGUAAAAGUUUGUGAUUAUUGUGCUAAAAUUUUACUUUACAGUACUGAGAUUAAAAUGGACCAAACUGUUAUGAAAUAAAUUAUAAUUUAUAGUAUCGAGAAAUUUGAAUAAGAGUAGAAUUUAAUACCUGUAAGAAGCAAAUAACACUAGUAUAAGGGAGAGAGUUUAUUAUAAGAAGGAAGAAGAAAAUGUAAUGAUUCUUUGAUUAUAAACUCUUGUUCUUGUUUUUGGUGUACAAAAGAGUGAGAUGAGUGAUGGUAUUUAUAGUGAAC